rnacentral:rRNA from 1 species
AGGGAAAGCGGCGGACGGGUGAGUAACGCGUAGGCAACCUGCCCUUAGCAGAGGGAUAGCCAUUGGAAACGAUGAUUAAAACCUCAUAACGCUUGAGAGACACAUGGUCUUUUGAGCCAAAGAUUUAUCGGCUAAGGAUGGGCCUGCGUCUGAUUAACUGGUUGGUGAGGUAACCGGCUCACCAAGGUGACGAUCAGUAGCCGACCUGAGAGGGUGAUCGGCCACAUUGGAACUGAGACACGGUCCAAACUUCUACGGAAGGCAGCAGUAAGGAAUCUUGCACAAUAGGGGGGAAACCCUGAUGCAGCAACGCCGCGUGAACGAAGAAGGCCUUCGGGUUGUAAAGUUCUGAUCUUGGGGAAGAAGGAAGUGACGGUACCCAAGGAGAAAGCCCCGGCUAACUACGUGCCAGCCGCGGC